rnacentral:rRNA from 1 species
GACGAACGCUGGCGGCGUGCCUAAUACAUGCAAGUUGAGCGCUGACGCUUGGUACUUGUACCCACUGGGUGAGCAGCGAACGGGUGAGUAACGCGUGGAGCAUCUUCCUUUUUGCGGUGGACAACAUUUGGAAACGAAUGCUAAUACCGCAUAAAAACUUUAAACACAAGUUUUAAGUUUUAAAGAUGCCUUUGCCUCACUCAAAAAUGAUCCCGCGUUGUAUUAGCUAGUUGGUGAGGUAAAGGCUCACCAAGGCGAUGGUACAUAGCCGACCUGAGAGGGUGAUCGACCAAAAUGGGACUGAGACAAGGCCCAAACUUCUAAGGGAAGGAGCAGGAGGGAAUCAUCGGAAAAGGACGAAAGUCUGAACGAGGAACGCCGCGGGAGUGAAGAAAGGUCUCGGAUCGGAAAAGUCUGUUGGUAGAGAAGAAAGUUGGUGAGAGUGGAAAGCUCAUGAAGUGACGGUAACUAAACAGAAAGCGACGGCUAACUACGUG